GGAAUUUUCCGCAAUGGGCGAAAGCCUGACGGAGCAACGCCGCGUGAGGGAUGAAGGCCUCUGGGCUGUAAACCUCUUUUAUCAAGGAAGAAGAUCUGACGGUACUUGAUGAAUAAGCCACGGCUAAUUCCGUGCCAGCAGCCGCGGUAAUACGGGAGUGGCAAGCGUUAUCCGGAAUUAUUGGGCGUAAAGCGUCCGCAGGCGGUCUGUCAAGUCUGCUGUUAAAGCGUGGAGCUUAACUCCAUUUCGGCAGUGGAAACUGACAGACUAGAGUGUGGUAGGGGCAGAGGGAAUUCCCGGUGUAGCGGUGAAAUGCGUAGAUAUCGGGAAGAACACCAGUGGCGAAGGCGCUCUGCUGGGCCAUAACUGACGCUCAUGGACGAAAGCCAGGGGGGCGAAAGGGAUUAGAUACCCCAGUAGUC
rnacentral:rRNA from 1 species